CUACGGGCGGCUCCAGUGGGGAAUAUUGCACAAUGGGCGCAAGCCUGAUGCAGCCAUGCCGCGUGUAUGAAGAAGGCCUUCGGGUUGUAAAGUGCUUUCAGCGGGGAGGAAGGGAGUAAAGUUAAUACCUUUGCUCAUUGACGUUACCCGCAGAAGGAGCACCGGCUAACUCCGUGCCAGCAGCCGCGGUAAUACGGAGGGUGCAAGCGUUAAUCGGAAUUACUGGGCGUAAAGCGCACGCAGGCGGUUUGUUAAGUCAGAUGUGAAAUCCCCGGGCUCAACCUGGGAACUGCAUCUGAUACUGGCAAGCUUGAGUCUCGUAGAGGGGGGUAGAAUUCCAGGUGUAGCGGUGAAAUGCGUAGAGAUCUGGAGGAAUACCGGUGGCGAAGGCGGCCCCCUGGACGAAGACUGACGCUCAGGUGCGAAAGCGUGGGGAGCAAACAGGAUUAGAUACCCGCGUAGUC
rnacentral:rRNA from 1 species